UGGCUGCAGUGAGGAAUCUUGCGCAAUGGGGGCAACCCUGACGCAGCAACGCCGCGUGAGUGAGGAAGGUCUUCGGAUCGUAAAGCUCUGUCGGAUGGAAAGAACCGCAUAGAGGUGAAUAGCCUCUAUGUCUGACGGUACCAUCAAAGGAAGCACCGGCUAACUCCGUGCCAGCAGCCGCGGUAAUACGGGGGGUGCAAGCGUUGUUCGGAAUUAUUGGGCGUAAAGAGUGUGUAGGCUGCCGGAUGUGUCAGAUGUGAAAGCCCUGGGCUUAACCCAGGAAGUGCAUUUGAAACUGUCCGGCUUGAGUAGGGGAGAGGGAAGUGGAAUUCCUGGUGUAGAGGUGAAAUUCGUAGAUAUCAGGAGGAACACCGGUGGCGAAGGCGACUUCCUGGCCCUAUACUGACGCUGAGACGCGAGAGCGUGGGUAGCAAACAGGAUUAGAUACCCUUGUAGUC
rnacentral:rRNA from 1 species